rnacentral:rRNA from 1 species
GACGAACGCUGGCGGCGUGCUUAACACAUGCAAGUCGAACGGAAAGGCCCUGCUUUUGUGGGGUGCUCGAGUGGCGAACGGGUGAGUAACACGUGAGUAACCUGCCCUUGACUUUGGGAUAACUUCAGGAAACUGGGGCUAAUACCGGAUAGGAGCUCCUGCUGCAUGGUGGGGGUUGGAAAGUUUCGGCGGUUGGGGAUGGACUCGCGGCUUAUCAGCUUGUUGGUGGGGUAGUGGCUUACCAAGGCUUUGACGGGUAGCCGGCCUGAGAGGGUGAACGGGCACAUUGGGACUGAGAGACGGCGCAGACGCCUACGGGAGGCAGCAGGGGGGAAUAUGGCACAAUGGGCGGGAGCCUGAUGCAGCAACGCCGCGUGCGGGAUGACGGCCUUCGGGUUGUAAAACGCUUUCGCCUGUGACGAAGCGUGAGUGACGGUAAUGGGUAAAGAAGCACCGGCUAACUACGUG